rnacentral:sRNA from 1 species
AGAAUAAUUAACUUUUGAAGAUUCAAGAACACAAAGAAAAACUGAAGGAUUAAAGCUAGAUCCUUUGGACGAAUCCCCAAGUGAUCUAUGUAUAGUGAAAUGUUGAAAACCCUAGAUUCACUAGAAGACAAGAGACUUGAGGCGGUUUGGGUGAGUGCUCGAUCUUGGGGAUCGAGUAAGGAGGGUGCUGUAAAGUCUACGCCUUUGUGUCUAUGCUCCGAGUGAUCAAUUAGUCGAGUAGAUGCUUCUUCCUCUCCUAUCUGUAUGCUCAGAUGUCUGGUUGAGUGGGGAAUGAGGAGGAUCCGAAGACGCUUUGAUAGAUCAACAAGUCUUGUAGAGUUGGUCACCCUUGAUCGAGUAAAUGGGUCGAGGAUAGGAACGAGUAGAAGGGGCGAGUAGAUCGAUCUACUGCUUCUUAUGAGGCUGCAAGGAUCGAGUAAGAGGGUCGAGUGAAUUGCUGCCUCCGAUGUGGCUGCCUGGAUCGAGUGAGUGGGUCGAGUACAAUGCUCUGCUGCUUCCCUCCUGGUUGGAUAGAGUAGAGGGACGAGUUGAAUCCUUUUGAGCUCCUUCUGCACCUGAAAACACACCAAAAAAUGCAAUGUGUAUGCAAGAUGAUCCUAAAUGCCUAAGUAUGCAAAAUAAGCUAAAAUGGUGCAAAAUGAUAUGAUAGAAUGAGCGAAUGCAAAGCUAAAUGAUGAUAAAUAUACACCUAAAAUGAGUAAAAUACAGUGUUAUCAACUCCCCCAAACUUAUCUCUUGAUUGCCCUCGAG